CCUACGGGAGGCAGCAGUAAGGAAUAUUGGUCAAUGGGGGCAACCCUGAACCAGCCAUGCCGCGUGCAGGAUGACGGCCCUAUGGGUUGUAAACUGCUUUUAUACCAGAGAAAACCCGAGUACGUGUACUCGGUUGAUAGUAUGGUAAGAAUAAGCAUCGGCUAACUUCGUGCCAGCAGCCGCGGUAAGACGAAGGAUGCAAGCGUUAUCCGGAUUCAUUGGGUUUAAAGGGUGCGUAGGCGGACCUGUAAGUCAGUGGUGAAAUCUCUUUGCUUAACAAAGAAACUGCCAUUGAUACUGCAAGUCUAGAGUAUAGAUGACGUUGGCGGAAUAUGACAUGUAGUGGUGAAAUACUUAGAUAUGUCAUAGAACACCGAUUGCGAAGGCAGCUAACGAAACUAUAACUGACGCUGAGGCACGAAAGUGCGGGGAUCAAACAGGAUUAGAUACCCUGGUAGUCCGCACCGUAAACGAUGAUUACUCGUUGUUGGCAUAUAGUACGUCGACGCGACCGAACGACGAACGACGAGUAAGUAACUACCGUACCGUACGGGUACGGUACGGACCGGACCGAACCGGUACGAACCGUAACGAAACGGUAAGUUAGUACGGACGUAGAGACGUUACGACCGACGGACGACGACGAGGGAGGAGG
rnacentral:rRNA from 1 species